rnacentral:lncRNA from 1 species
GGCACCAAGCAAUUGAAGAAUUUCCACAAGGCAUAUUAGAAUUAAUCUAGCUUAGCUUAGUAAUUUAGAUUUUGUUAAUGAAGUUUUGUAAUAAUUGGGCUAAUUUUUGGUAGUGUAGGCAAAGCCCAAAUUGUAAAAAAAACAUGAUGUGGCUUUAGGGUUUGGGUGGACCCUACCUUAGUUUUUUUGGUGACUCAUUUUCUCAGACCUAGGAAGGGGAGCCGACACUUGGCAUUGGGGACUCUCGGUAUUCUUCUUUUGGGGGGUUCUGGAAUAGUUUUCUUGGCUUGGGUUUUACGUUGCAGUGUGUGAAGGCAAUGGUAUUCUCGGUUCUUCCCUGGGGGAAUUAAAUAAAANCAACAUUUUAUUCCUCUUCCUUCAAUGCAUGUGCAGCUUUAUUCUAUUGAGAUUUCUCCAUUGAUGAAAAAGGGUUUAUUUUAUAUUAAACAUUUGGAAUGAAGAGGGAGGUAUGUUGUUAAUUCACGGUUGCUGGAAGAGGUGUGCUAGCAUUGCUUUCUUCAUUAGCUUUUACUUUGAUUGAUUGAUGAGAAGCAAUCACUCAUGAAGUGACAUUUUGUUUUGAUGGCACCAAGCAUUGAUUCACAAGCUGGAAGAAGUGGCCACGUUGUCAACCUUCUUUCCCAUUAAAAUGUGAUGCUUUGAUUUAAAUUGCAUAGAUUGUUGCAGCUACUUCACCACGGUACUCAUUGUUUUUGGAGAUUUCAUUUCCCUUUGAAGUAGAGUUAGUUGGCACAAGUAUGUUUGGUCCUGUACGCUUGAUUCAAGUGGAAUCAACAAUGUUCUUUUAUUUUCUAAGCUUCAUUGAAUGAAAGGUUAUGUGGGGUCCGGUACUUUGUUUCUUGGGCUUAGAUUCCAUUUUGAAGAAUUAAAGAAAGAGGAUUAGAAAGAGGCAGAGGGUGUAGCGUCUGAUUGUUUGUGGGUUCAGUGCUCUUGACUUAUUUUAUUUCAAUUCUAGUUGAUUAUGUUGCAGCCGUCACUUGCAAAUGGGUCCUUGUUUUGAGUUUGAUUACAAGGUGUGUGGGAGAUUUUUGGUUUGUAAUGUUAUUCCAGGGGAGACUCACGGUUCUGGAGCUUAGGCAUUCUAACUUUUGCCACUUACUUUGCCUUGGUUUUUAAAUGUUUUCCCAGCAAAGAAGGUUUUUGGGUUCACGGUUGUUAAUGAAUUGAGAGAAGCAGUAUGGUCAGGAUUUGUUGCCACUUGUUGAUUUUGUGAUUGAAGAUAUUUUUUUGGUGGGCCCGAUGAUGAGAUUUUUUUUGUGGAUUUACUUUAUAGAAUGAAGAGUAAAUUAGGUGGGGUGUACGGUGCUUGGUAGCUGCUAGCUUUUCUUUGAAAUUCAUAAUUGAUAUGAGGAUUAGGUGAUGAUGGGACAUUGUAGCAUGAGGUGUUAACUUUUAACUCUUUGAGAAUAGAAAAAAAUUCAUUUGAUGGAAGGAAGAGAAAGUUGUGUGACGACAAGCAACCCUUUGCAACCAAUGUUCCUUUUCUUUGCUUUGCUAUAGUUUACCGUGUGUCAUGUCACAUUUAGCCUUGAAGACCACACUCUGUUUCUAUUUUGCAAUUGGUGAGCUGCGGGAUUACUAAUGCUGGAAUAAGGGGCUGCAGAGUUGACUUGUUGAAGGUGCACACAGUCAUUUACACUUUGGAAGAAAGGAAUUUAUUCAUUUGGGUUUUUGGAAAUUUGAAACCGUGACUUCAUGACCUGGGAAGUGAAUUUUGACGCUGGUUUUUGGGAGAAGAGAGAAAUAUAUUUUCUUUCACUUUAAAGGAAAGGGAGGUCACGGCCAAUAGGUCCAAUUUUACACUAAUUACAAUUUUAAUUUGUUUGGUUGAAUUUUUUUUUUUUAAAUUUAGUUAUUUAUAUUAGCAUGAUCACUUUCAAAUCCCCUUUUUUUUGUGUGUUUGACAAAAUUCUGAACCGCAAAAUUGGUCCUUGGGAGACGACCUAGGGGUCAUUCCCUAGUCUAUACUGCAUUCCUUAAAUUGCACAUCAAAUUUGAUUGGGCGGCGACACCCAUCGAAUUAGGGGAGGUUGUUCUUUGUUUAGAUUUCGUUUUCUUGUGAAUUUUGUUGAGUCUUGUGUACAGUUUUGCAUGUUUUUUGUGAAUUCUGGACUGUGAUUAGGUUGCUAGUUUCCCUUCACUGCUUUGAUAAUCUAUUUAGUUGGACUCCUUGCUCUUCUUUGCUUGGAAGAUAAUCAUGAUGUUUGAGAGUUUGAUUGAUUGUGACCGAUUACCUGUGUGAGAUUUGAGCCAUUUGAUGAUCUUUCUUGUGUGUGAUAUGUCUCUGGAUUGCUUGCACAUUUGCCUUGGCUUGACUCUGUUGUUAAUUCUUGAUUCAUUAACAUGUUUGAAAAUGAUAAAGGCAUUUUGUUGAUUGAGCCUCUCUAGCCAGAUAGCCUACCUUGUUAUGAUCUCUUUGUUAGCCCCCUUGAGCCUAUACCUCCCCCAUUUCUUUGCUUUGAAGCUCAUACAAUAGCCUAAGUGAAAAACCAUGAUUACCUGAACCUUAGGGAAUUUUGGAGCUUUGGAACUGUUUUGGGAAUAAGUGUGGUCUCUUAGGAGUUNCAGAUGAAUUGGCUAGUGAGUCCUCUUCUUGCGGUUGCAUUGUAAAUAUCAUGUAUCUUGUCUCUUAGAAUUGUGUUCUGAAAAGAGAGAAAAGAAAAGAGACAAGAUGAAAAAAAAAAUGCAGAAAAAUGAGGAAAAUUAAAAAAAAUUGUNUGAAUAAUGGAGUCAAGAAGAGGAUUGAGUUAGAGGUUUUGGGUGUGAAUUGACUGUGUUUACACUUGUUCCCCAUUGCUCCUCUAUUUCCUUUGGUUUGUAGCUUCUCAUCCAUAUGAUAUCCUCCCUUGUCNUUGGCCCCAUUGCAACCAUGAAAAGACCUUUUGAUUUAAACAUGCAUGUGUGCUUGAGUGUUGAUAUUAGAGGCUUGCCAAGUCUAUUUGUGUUUGCUUUCUUGAGUGCAUCGAGUGAAAUUGAUUUACCUUAAACACUUGAGAGAAACACCGAUUUUGUGCAUCUGUGAGGCUAUGUUGCUUUUGAUUCAUCUCUUGAACUGAUUGACUGUUUUCCAUGCACUGAACUGUUUGGAUGAUUCUGUGAGUAUCUGCUUUCAUUGACUCUAUGUGGAACUCUGCCUAUGCCUUUCACUGUCCAGAUUUUGUGAGAACUAUGCAACUCUGUGUUUGUCAUUGUGAGUCUUUGUCGUCUGUUUGUUGAGUCUGUGUCACUUCUUGAUGUCCUCGGUACUGUGCCCUGUUUUGCGUCUUGAUUUUGCCCAGGAGUGCAAAAGACUAAGUGUG